AUUUAUGUUGUUCGUUCUUCUUAUAUUCUAUAUUUAAUCUUAAUGGCUUGGGACGUGUGCAGAUCGCCGUUUUGCUCGCCCUGUCGGUGACCAUCCUCGCCGAGUCAAUCCCAAGAUACAGUCCUCCUGCUCCUUCGUACAACGCUCCUGCUCCCGCUCCUACGGGACCUGCACAAUACGACUUCAAUUAUGUUGUGCAAGAUAACAUUGGAAACGACUUCGGUCAUCAAGAAAGCCGAAAUGGAUACGACACUCAGGGUACCUACUACGUCCAGCUCCCCGACGGCCGUCUGCAGAGGGUAACCUACACUGUGAACGGCGACUCCGGCUUCAUAGCUGAUGUUGCCUACCAGGGAGAGGCCCAGUAUCCUUCCUAUCAGCCAUCCCAAUCCUACCAACCCUGCUCCCACCCCUGCAUACGGCUGAUUUCAUCACGACACACUUUUUGGAGUCUGUGGAAAUGUUAUUUGUAAAUAAAAUGAUGCCGAUAGA